CACGUAGGGCGCAAGCGUUGUCCGGAAUUAUUGGGCGUAAAGAGCUCGUAGGUGGUCUGUUGCGUCCGCUGUGAAAACCCAGGGCUUAACCCUGGGCUGGCAGUGGAUACGGGCAGACUAGAGGUAGGUAGGGGAGAAUGGAAUUCCUGGUGGAGCGGUGAAAUGCGCAGAUAUCAGGAGGAACACCCGUAGCGAAGGCGGCACUCUGGGCCGAUACUGACACUGAGGAGCGAAAGCGUGGGGAGCGAACAGG
rnacentral:rRNA from 1 species